rnacentral:rRNA from 1 species
GACGAACGCUGGCGGCGUGCUUAACACAUGCAAGUCGAACGGAAAGGCCCUGCUUUUGUGGGGUGCUCGAGUGGCGAACGGGUGAGUAACACGUGAGUAACCUGCCCUUGACUUUGGGAUAACUUCAGGAAACUGGGGCUAAUACCGGAUAGGAGCUCCUGCUGCAUGGUGGGGGUUGGAAAGUUUCGGCGGUUGGGGAUGGACUCGCGGCUUAUCAGCUUGUUGGUGGGGUAGUGGCUUACCAAGGCUUUGACGGGUAGCCGGCCUGAGAGGGUGACCGGCCACAUUGGGACUGAGAUACGGCCGAGACUCCUACGGGAGGCAGCAGUGGGGAAUGUUGCACAAUGGGCGGAAGCAUGGUGCAGCAACGCCGCGUGCGGGAUGACGGCCUUCGGGUUGUAAACCGCUUUCGCCUGUGACGAAGCGUGAGUGACGGUAAUGGGUAAAGAAGCACCGGCUAAGUACGUG